UACGUAGGGGGCAAGCGUUGUCCGGAAUCAUUGGGCGUAAAGCGCGUGUAGGCGGUCAGGUAAGUUCGCUGUGAAAGUCGGGGGCUUAACCCUCGGAUGCCGGUGAAUACUGUCGGGCUUGAGUACGGAAGAGGCGAGUGGAAUUCCUGGUGUAGCGGUGAAAUGCGCAGAUAUCAGGAGGAACACCAAUUGCGAAGGCAGCUCGCUGGGACGUUACUGACGCUGAGACGCGAAAGCGUGGGGAGCAAACAGG
rnacentral:rRNA from 1 species